rnacentral:rRNA from 1 species
CCCUUAGAUGUCCUGGGCUGCACGCGCGCUACACUGAUGCGCUCAACGAGUUUACGAUCUUGCCUGAAAUGGCUGGGUAAUCUUUUGAACUUUCGUCGUGAUGGGGCUAGACCCUUGCAAUUAUUGGUCUCCAACGAGGAAUUCCUAGUAAACGCAAGUCAUCAGCUUGCAUUGAUUACGUCCCUGCCCUUUGUACACACCGCCCGUCGCACCUACCGAUUGAAUGGUCCGGUGAAAUCUUCGGAUUGAGACUUUGUUUUCUUCACGGAAAACGCUGUUUUAAAAAGUUGAUUAAACCUUACCAUUUAGAGGAAGGUGAAGUCGUAACA